rnacentral:rRNA from 1 species
CUAGGAUGAACGCUAGCGACAGGCCUAACACAUGCAAGUCAGGGGCAGCACAAGGAGCAAUCUGAGGUGGCGACCGGCGCACGGGUGAGUAACACGUAUGCAACCUGCCUGUAAGCGGGGAAUAACCCGUUGAAAGACGGACUAAUACCGCAUAAUACUAAAUUACUGCAUGGUAAUUUAUUUAAACAUUUAUGGCUUACAGAUGGGCAUGCGCAUGAUUAGCUAGUUGGAGAGGUAACGGCUCCCCAAGGCAACGAUCAUUAGGGGUUCUGAGAGGAAGGUCCCCCACACUGGUACUGAGACACGGACCAGACUCCUACGGGAGGCAGCAGUGAGGAAUAUUGGUCAAUGGACGAGAGUCUGAACCAGCCAAGUCGCGUGCAGGAAGAAUGUCCUUAAUGGAUUGUAAACUGCUUUUGCAGGGGAAUAAAGUGCAUCACGUGUGAUGUUUUGUAUGUACUCUGCGAAUAAGGAUCGGCUAACUCCGUGCCAGCAGCAGC